ensembl:rRNA 5S_rRNA 5S ribosomal RNA
GCUUACGGCCACACCAACCUGGCUAUGCCCGAUCUCGUCUGAUCUCGGAAGCUAAGCAGGUUUGGGCCUGUUUAGUACUUGGAUGGGAGACCGCCUGGGAAUACCAGGUGCUGUAAGCU